UACGUAGGGUGCGAGCGUUGUCCGGAAUUAUUGGGCGUAAAGAGCUCGUAGGCGGUUUGUCGCGUCGGCCGUGAAAACUUGGGGCUUAACCCCAAGCCUGCGGUCGAUACGGGCAGACUUGAGUUCGGCAGGGGAGACUGGAAUUCCUGGUGUAGCGGUGAAAUGCGCAGAUAUCAGGAGGAACACCGGUGGCGAAGGCGGCUUUCUGGGUCUUACCUGACGCUGAGGAACGAAAGCUAGGGGAGCGAACGGG
rnacentral:rRNA from 1 species